AAAAAAAAAAAGAUAAAUGAAUAAAGCUUAACAGGAUGGCAAAUUUGAGCUAUAACCAAUAUAAUUAAUUUAAAAUGCCUUUAAAUAUUUGCCUUUAUUUGGCUAGUGCUACUUUCCUAACCACAAGAAGUGAAAAUUGAGAUAGGCCAGCUGUGAAAAUAGCCACCAACCAGGCAAGCUGGGAUAACUGUUCAUUUUUAAACACACAAUUGCUUUAUUCAGAUUUAAGCACGUUAAGUAAUAAAAAUUUUUGUAAUCUGUCAUAUGUAUGUGAAAUCUGUCCUAUUUGAACAGAACAAAAAUUAUCAAAGCCAGUAAAUCCUGAUUAUAACGAUAAAUGAGUAAAUGAUGUCAACUAUCUAAAAUUUACUGCAGGGCUGGGCAUGGUGGUUCAUCCCUAUAACCUCAGCAGAGGAUUACUUGAGGCUAGGAGUUCAAGACCAGCCUGAGCAACGCAGUAAGACCCUAAAACCAACCAAACAAAAAAAGCUUAGCCACUCUUGGUGGCACACCUGUAGUCCCAAUUACUGAGGAGGCAGAGGCAGCGGGGGGCGGGCAGGGUGGUCAUUGAGCCCAGGAUUUAAGGCUGCAGUAAGCUGUGAUCUCACCAGUAUACUCCAGCCUGGGUGACAGAGUAAUAUCUUCUCUCAAAUAAAAUAAAAUUCACUAACUAAAGCUGGGCACAGAGGCUCAUGCCUAUAAUCCCAGAUACUUGGAAGGCUGAGGUGGGAGAUCACUUGAGCCCAGGAGUUCAAGGCUGCAGCGAGCUUCGAUUUUGCCACUAUACUCCAGCCUGGCAACAAAGUUAGGUAAAUCCAUUAAAGUGGUAAAAGGCAGGUUGAGAACUAAGGUGUCUCAAAUAAUUUUUUUUUUUUUUUGAGAUGGAGUCCACGCUGUCGCCCAGGCUGCAGUGCAAUGGCAUGAUCUUGGCUCACUGCAACCUCCGCCUCCCGGGUUCAAGUGAUUCUCCUGCCUCAGCCUCCCUCGAGUAGCUGGGAUUACAGGCACCCACCACCACGCCCAGCUAAUUUUCGUAUUUUUAGAGACGGGGUUUCGCUAUGUUGGCCAGGCUGGUCUUGAACUCCUGACCUUAGGUGAUCCGCCCACCUUGCCCUCCCAAAGUGCUGGGAUUACAUUACAUGCAUGAGCCACCACGCCUGGCUUUUUUUUUUUUGAGAUGGAGUCUUGUUCUGUUGCCCAGGCUCGAAUGCAGUGGCAUGAUCUCGGCUCACUGCAACCUCUGCCUCCCAAGUUCAAGCAAUUCUCCUGCCUCAGCCUCCUGAGUAGCUGGGGACUACAGGCGCACGCAACUAUGCCUGGCUAACUUUUGUAAUUUUAGUAGAGAUGGGGUUUCACCAUGUUGGCCAGGCUGGUCUCGAACUCCUGACUUCAAGAGAUCCACCCACUUCAGCCUCCCAGAGUACUGGGAUUACAGGCUCAAAUAAAUUUUUUCCCCCCAGAUGGAGCCUUGCUCUGUCCCUCAGGCUGGAGUGCAGUGGUGCGAUAUCGGCUUACUGCAACCUCUGCCACCCAGGUUCAAGCGAUUCUCCUGCCUCAGCCUCCCUAGUAGCUGUGAUUACAGGUGCCCGCCACCAUCCCCAGCUAUUUUUUGUAUUUUUAGUGGAGACGGGGUUUCAGCAUCUUGGCCAGGUUGGUCUUGAACUCCGGAACUCAUGAUCCACCUGCCCUGGCCUCCCAAACUGCUGGGAUUACAGGUGUAAACCACCAUGCCUGGCCACUCAAAUAAUUUUUAAAACAGUAAGUCAGAAUGUCCAGGGCUUGGUUUAUUCCAAAUUAAGUAUUUCAGGCUCCAAGUAUGUUAACUCCAAAUAAGCAUGAUCAAAAAUGGGCAUUUUAUGGUGUAUUUUGUAAAAAUAUUUGCAUAGUUAUAAAUUGAUGUAAAAUGAUUACCCACCCAAAUAUAUAAACAUGCCUGAAACCACGACAGCCAGUAUGUUACUCAUGAGGAUGCAAGAUGUCACUUCAAUCAUCCAUUCAAAUCUGUACACUGGAACACUGAAAUCAACAUCCAAUAGUAACCUACAGCCUGACAGAUCAAACAUGCGCUAGGAUAAGUUCUUCUUCAAUUACUACAAUAAUGUGACUUUUUUAAACAAAGCCAACCAUUGAAAAUCAUGGAAAAUGAUUCCACUGUAUGUAUGCUGCCAAUGUUCAGAUGAUGUACUGUACCCUUGAUUUAGCCCAUUACCUAGCUCAUUUCAACAAAUUAUAUAUAAAUUUAUAAAAAUCGGAAAGGAAAUUUAGCUCUGUUAACAGCAAGAAGCACAUUUUGGUAGGAAUUUAGCUACUAAGCAAGAACUUUAAAUUACUCUGUGUUUUGGCCAGUGUGGUGGCUCACCUGAGGUCAGGAGCUCGAGACCAGCCUGGCCCACAUGGUGAAACCCUAUCUCUACUAAAAAUAUAAAAAAUUAGCCAGGCGUGGUGGCUGGCACCUAUAAUCCCAGCUACUCAGGAGGAUGAGGCAGAGAAUCACUUGAACCCGGGAGGCAGAGGUUGCAGUGAGCUGAGACUGCACCAUUGCACUGCAGCCUGGGUGACAAGAGCAAAACUCUAUCUCAAAAAUAAAUGAAUAAAUACAUACACACAUAUAUACAUACAAACAUCACUCUGUGUUUCUACAUAGCAAGAAGCCCAUGAAGUCCAGUUAACAUGUUACACUGAGAUUCAGAAUUUAGGUAUUUUAGGAAUGAAGUAAAUAAAACUGUGGAAUUAAGGGAUGAUCAUCCCCUAAAAAAGGCUAUUACAGAAAAAAAAAAUUUUUAAAGCUAUUACAAUAGUAAUUGACCCCCAUGACCUCUUUUCUCUCCCAUACAAUUCUGUUAAAUAAAACACAUAUGCUAGUCUUCGCCAGUUACUUAGGACACAACCGUGAAUUAGACAACAUAUUGGUUAGUAUAUCACAGUCUAGCUGGGGCAGAACAGACAUGUAACUACAUCUGAAGAAAUACAAAUGUGUAACACAAAAUUUAAGCUUAGCACAUUACAGAAAUCAAAGGCCAGUCUAUCAAAUACUCACUGAAAGCUUACUGUGGAGGUUCAAAGUUCAACUUUAUGACUUUAAAAUGGCUGCCGUAAUUACACCUCUCUAUAUACAAACACCAUCUCACUCAAAAUGGUCACCUUUUUCAAAUGCAUGACUAUUCCAAUUACGUUACCACUGAGAGGCAUCUACAGGGAGCUUACUCCUCUAGUACUUCUUUAAUUUUCUUCAACAGCCAAAAAUCUUUUGGGGUCAAGAUUAAUAAAUAAGUUAAACAUAACUGCUAUAAAGUUUAAAACAUUUUUACUUUUUACUGUGGUUUGUAAAUGUCUCUGAGCGAAAUUUCUAAAAUAAUAAAAACCGUUCUGAGUGACAGUUACAUAGUUUUUUGUUUUUGUUUGGUUUUUUGAGACAGGGUCUCAUUGUGUCACCCAUACUAGAGUGCUGCAGUGUGAUCUUGGCUCAUCACAACCUCCACUCCCAGGCUCAAGCGAUUCUCCUGCCUCAGCCUCCUGAGUAGCUGGGAUUAUAGGUGCGUACCACUACCAUCCGGCUUUUUUUUUUUUUUUUUUUUUUUUUUGCGACGGAGUCUCGCUCUGUCACCCAGGCUGGAGUGCAAUGGCGCCCGAUCUCGGCUCACUGCAAGCUCUGCCUCCCAGGUUCACACUAUUCUCCUGCCUCAGCCUUACGAGUAGCUGGGACUACAGGCACGCCCGCCACCAGGUCGGCUAAUUUUCCGUAUUUUUAGUAGAGACAGGGUUUCACUGUGUUAGCCAGGAUGGUCUUGAUCUCCUGACCUUGUGAUCUGCCCGUCUCGGCCUCCCAAAGUGCUGGGAUUACAGGCAUGAG
rnacentral:lncRNA from 1 species